GAUGAACGCUGGCGGCGUGCCUAAUACAUGCAAGUCGAGCGAACAGAUGAGGAGCUUGCUCCUCUGACGUUAGCGGCGGACGGGUGAGUAACACGUGGAUAACCUACCUAUAAGACUGGGAUAACUUCGGGAAACCGGAGCUAAUACCGGAUAAUAUAUUGAACCGCAUGGUUCAAUAGUGAAAGACGGUUUUGCUGUCACUUAUAGAUGGAUCCGCGCCGCAUUAGCUAGUUGGUAAGGUAACGGCUUACCAAGGCAACGAUGCGUAGCCGACCUGAGAGGGUGAUCCGCCACACGGGAACUGAGACACGGUCCAGACUCCUACGGGAGGCAGCAGUAGGGAAUCUUCCGCAAUAGGCGAAAGCUUGACGGAGCAACGCCGCGUGAGUGAUGAAGGUCUACGGAUCGUAAAACUCUGUUAUUAGGGAAGAACAAAUGUGUAAGUAACUAUGCACGUCUUGACGGUACCUAAUCAGAAAGCCACGGCUAACUACGUG
rnacentral:rRNA from 1 species